rnacentral:rRNA from 1 species
UACGUAGGGGGCGAGCGUUAUCCGGAAUUAUUGGGCGUAAAGAGCGCGCAGGUGGUUGAUUAAGUCUGAUGUGAAAGCCCACGGCUUAACCGUGGAGGGUCAUUGGAAACUGGUCAACUUGAGUGCAGAAGAGGGAAGUGGAAUUCCAUGUGUAGCGGUGAAAUGCGUAGAGAUAUGGAGGAACACCAGUGGCGAAGGCGGCUUCCUGGUCUGUAACUGACACUGAGGCGCGAAAGCGUGGGGAGCAAACAGG